CAGCAGUGGACAGAGGUUCUGGUUUCUCCACAUCCUGGCUAUCUCUCGCAUUAUGUGACUUUAUUAUUUCUUUUAUUUAUUUAUUUAUUUUUUAGAGAAGGGGGUCUUGCUACAUUGCCCAGGCUGGUCUUGAACUCCUGGCCUCAAGACAUCCUCCUACCUCAGCCUCUCAAAGUGCUGGGAUUACAGGCAUAUACUACCAUGCCUGGCCUUAUGUGAUUUUUUGAUUCUAGCCACACCUAGUAGGUACAAAGUGGUGAGUCUUUUUAUUUAUUUAUUUUUUUGAGACGGAGUCUCUCUCUGUCACCCAUGCUGGAGUGCAAUGGUGCUAUCUCGGCUCACUGCAACCUCUGCCUCCCAGGUUCAAGUGAUUCUCCUGCCUCAGUCUCCCGAGUAGCUGGGAUUACGGAGGUGUGCCACCACACCUGGCUAAUUUUUGUAUUUUUAGUAGAGACAAGAUUUCACCAUUUUGGCCAGGCUGGUCUUGAACUCCUGACCUCAGGUGAUCCGCCCUCCUCAGCCUCCCAAAGUGCUGGGAUUACAGGUGUGAGCCACUGUGCCUGGCCUAGAAGUGGAGCCAAGGUCCUCAUGACAGGGUUGGAAAGGCCUGGGAGGGGAGCCAGGAGCCUGAGACCAGCUCAGCAGGUCCUGGCCGUGUGACCCAGAGGAAGUCACCCCAUCUCGCCUGCUAACCAGAUGACUAACAGCAGCAGCAAUCAUAUUGCCUAAUUUGCUACCUCACAGGAGUGUGGGAGAAGAUCAAACAGAGAAAUGAAUGAGAAGCAUUCUUUCCACAAAUAUUUGUUGAACACCUACUGUGCUCGAGGCUUGUGGAGGACCAAGCGGGGAACAAGCUGGCAUAAUCCUUCUCCCUAGGAAUGUACAGUCAACAGGGAAGCCAGAAAUGAAGGGAUUGCUACAAAGUGUGCAAGUGCCUCCCUCUGCUGAGGAUUGGGGCACAUGAUGGCAGAGGCAUCUCUGCAAAUCCUGACAAUCUCACAGGUCAUCCCUGCUUUGCCUCCUUUGAGUCUUCAUUUAUGAAAUGGACUGGGUUUUUGUUGUUGUUGUUGUUUUAGAUGGUGUCUCGCUCUGUUGCCCAGGCUGGAGUGCAGUGGCGUGAUCUCGGCUCACUGCAACCUCCGCCUCCCGGGUUCAAGCAAUUCUCCUGCUUCAGCCUCCCGAGUAGUUGGGAUUACAGGUGUAUGCCACCACACCUGGCUAAUUUUUGUAUUUUUAGUAGAGACGGGGUUUCACCAUGUUUGCCAGGCUGGUCUCGAACUCCUGACCUCAGGUGAUCCGCCCACCUUGGCCUCUCAAAGUGCUGGGAUUAUAAGGCGUGAGCCACUGAGCCCAGCCUGGACUGUUUUUUGUUUUUGAGACAGGGUCUCACUCUGUUGCCUGGGCUGGAGUGCAGUGCUGUGAUCAUGGCUCACGGUAGCCUCGAACUCCUGGGCUCAGGUGAUCCUCCCACCUCAGCCUCCUGAGUAGCUGGCACUACAGGAGCACACCACCACCACCAUGCCCCGCUAAUUUUUAAUUUUUUACAGACAGGGUCUCACUAUGUUGCCCAGCCUGGUCUUGAACUCCUGGGCUCAAGCAAUCCUGCCUCAGCCUCUCAAAGUGCUGGGAUUACAGGGGUGAGCCACUGCACCUGGCCUUGAAAUGGACUUUGAAGUGAGCAUCAAGAUAUACCUUCCUCACGACGCUGGUGUAAGGAUUGAGCUCAUGCAUGUGAAAGGGCUUAGCACCGAGCCAGACACCUCUAAGACAUCGCUGGAUGGCGGUGAUUGUUCAUGCGCGACCUUGCCACUGGGCACCUGGGGAUGCAGGCAUGACAUUGUCCUUCAAAGAGACAGGGAUGAGGAGCAUGUGUCUGGCACCUGGAGAUCACAUUCCCUUCCUCCCUCAGGGCCUAUAUUUGCCCACACAUACACGAUUGCGUGGGGACGUUAAAAGGUUCGAAAGCAGAUAUUCCAAACUGGUAACAGGGUGAGAAAUGAGGGUAAUUAUGAGCCCAGUCAUCUACUUUUAUGUUUUAUCUUUUAUAUAUUGUUUGAACAAUAGAUCACUUUUUGUUUUUCUUUAUUACGGUAAAAUACGCGUGACAUUAAAUGUUCCAUUUGAACCAUUUUUAAGUGUAUGGUUCGGUGGCAUUAAGUACGUUCCCAAUGUUGCAACCGCUACCACCACCUUCCCCAGUGAAACUCUGUCCCCAUUAAACACUAACUCUCCCUUUCCCCUUCCCCAGCCCCUGGCAACAUUUAUUCUACUUUCUGUCUCUACAAAUUUGACUCGUAUAAGUGCAAUCACACAGUAUUUGUCCUUUUGUGUCUGGCUUAUUUCACUUAACAUAAUAUCCUCAAGUUCACUCACAUGGGAGCAUAUAUCAG
rnacentral:lncRNA from 1 species